AACAAAACAAAAUACGGUUAUAUUAUAUGUUCUCCUUCACCGCCAUUUUCUUAUUUCCUCUUCCUACACAGUUACCUUCUCUCAUUCUUUUCCUUCUUCAUUUUACAUCUUUAAUCUAUAUCUUCUAUAAUUAGUUUUGUGAUCUUAUUAGUAUAAUACUUCACAUCUUCAAAGAGGCUAGAAAAAGUUUCUAAACUUUUGAUCUUGGUGCGUUUGGGGCUACUUCAAGAGACGAUUAUUCCCUAACUUUGAUAGUUUUUAAUCAUCUUUGGUGUGGGUUUAUCGAAUCGACAUUAUCCGAACCGAAGUUGCGCCCGAUCUGAUUUACGACCGAAAUCUUAAAAUCGAACCCGAAUUGCGACCGAUUUUAUAAUCGACAUAUAACCAUUUAACCGAGAUUACCCGAAUUUAAUAGUGACCGACCCGAAUCAUGCUCAAAACCGAACUUGAUCCGGCUAAAUCCACUUUAUCCAAACAAAUUUUUAAUCGAAAUGCUGUAAACUUGAACGAAUUUUAAUAUAGAGCACAGGUGCAUAGGGAUGACAAUUCAGUUCGAAUUCGACCCUAAUCCGACACUUGCGAGGAAAAUAAUCUGAUUCGAGUCCGAGGAAAAAGUUAUCCGACUCCGACUUUACGAUCCAAGUCCAAGUUAGAGACGGAUCGGAGUUGGACCUUAUUAAAAAUCCGACACUCCGACCUUGAAGGAAAUUCUACUUGAGUUUGACUUUUACCUUAAUGUUUUGUUUCCUUUAAAACUCUAGACAUGACUAAUCCAAGCUCUCUUUCAUAGUAGUUGUAGUUUUCGAUUUUGAAAAACUACUUGGUAUUUUUAUUUAGAUUAAUCAAUCAAAAUAAGACAAAUCAAAUCAAGAGAAAUUAAAUACGCUAAAUUAAAAAGCGAGAAAAUUUUGUUAAAUUGUAGUAGUAGAACUAUUUCUCUUGUUAAACUUGAAUUCAAAGUACAUAUAUUUUUGUUAAAUUGUAUUUGAAAAAUAUUUUUUGUUAAUUUUAUAUGCUUUAAAAUCAUUACUACAAUUUCACAACGAUAAAGUUUGA